rnacentral:lncRNA from 1 species
GGAUUGUUUAUGUCAUGAACUUAGGGUUACAUAAACGGAGUCUCAUUUUAGUGGUUUUCUAAAAAUGCUUCUUUAUCAGAGAGAUCAAUAAUAUCCUAAAGAAAUUACAACACUGUAUCUGGGCAAAGUGAUUUCCAAAUUCAUGCAUUAGGCCCAACAGAGUAGCAAGUUUUCAAUUUCCAGACCUGAGCAAAUUGUAUGAAACCACUAAUACUAUUUCUAGGACAGGCCACGUUCGGAAGACACACAAGUGGAUUGAAUAAGCAGCAAAAACAGUUGUCCUGGCUGAUCUUUUGGUGUCUGCCUAAGGCUGACAGCUGGGCCAGAGACCACAGGAUCAUGGAAAUGUCUACUGAGAUGGACUUCACCAGGGGACAAGCUUGAUUUGUCCACUCGUCCACUACAAAGGAAGAAUGAUAGACCAGCAGCUUUGUCCAUCUCUUCCUAUUUUAAUGAGAUCUGAGGAAGUUUGGUAGGAUUUCUUCUUUUGAGAGUUACAUAAUCACCUAAAAUAUAUUUAUAAAACACUAUCUUUGGGUAGAACUACAAAUGUAUAUUUAAUUCUGAGUGGAUGGUUUUAUACUUAGGUUACACUAAAAAUCUGGUUCAAAAAAAAAAAAAAGAUGCGAAGUGUGAAGACUAAAGAGAGAGAACAAUCAUGGUCUCCUCUGUAAAAUAUCUUCAGUUUGAUUUUCCCAUCUAGUAUAUAUGGAAGAGUUUAUUGAAUUGAUCUCACUGUUGUCCACGUGUUCUAAAGGCCAAACUUUUGAAUUUAACAACAAGGAGAUCCACUGCUAUGAAGCAGAAACCUGUGGCCAUAUAUGAAGGAAAACUCUUCAGAGCAAAUUUUCUUGUAUGUGAGAACCUCUUCUUAUAUGUAAAAGGUAUGGGAACCUCUUCUGAGACUAGAAUCUAACACUAAAACCUGCCUACACAGCAAUCCCAACAAAAUACUCUUGGUAUAUUUCAGCUGAAAAUUUGAAAAUACAUGUUUUCAUCUUUUAUUAUGGCAAGACAUUCUAGCCUCCCAGUUAUAACAGUGCAAAUGUAUUUCCAACUCAAAAAGCUAUUAUUAAAAUUAAUAAAAGAAGUACUAAAAUCAGGGUCUUCCCAUGCCAAAUCCAGUUCAAUAUAACUAUUUGUAGCUGAGUUUUAAGCUCUUAGAAAUGUUGUGUUUAUAGUUGAAGUAACAGAGAUUUUACUGUAAUAGAGGAAAGAGGUGUGUUAAAAUAAAAACAGUAAAAUACUUAAACUGCUGGUCAUGUUUAUGACUCAGAAAAGAAGGCUCUAGUGGACAUCAGGUCAGGUUCUCCUAUGCAAGGGGACUGAUCUUAAGUGGACUGCAUAUACUUCAACAGUGACUUUUACUUUUUAAUAGUGUUUUUACGUGAAUCUACCAAAGAAAAGGCAAAUGUACCAAACUAAACUGUGUAGGGUUUCCGAUCCUAGAAAAGGUGGGUAAAGUGAAAUCAUCUUUACAGUAGCCACCAUGCCCCUCAGAGUCCACCUACUGUAAUUAUAAAACGCUGAAAGCAAAACUAUGUAGGUAAGUUUCUUAAAAUAAGUCUAUUUUUUUUUAAAGAGAUACAUUUGCAGUGAAAACUUCACUUUGUUUACAAUUUGAAAUCAAGUAGGGAUUUUUAAUAUUGAAAUCCUUUAUUUCACUCCUAAAAACUG